GACGAACGCUGGCGGCGUGCCUAAUACAUGCAAGUAGAACGCUGAAGGGGGAGCUUGCUUCUCCGGAUGAGUUGCGAACGGGUGAGUAACGCGUAGGUAACCUGCCUGGUAGCGGGGGAUAACUAUUGGAAACGAUAGCUAAUACCGCAUAAGAGUAGAUGUUGCAUGACAUUUGCUUAAAAGGUGCAAUUGCAUCACUACCAGAUGGACCUGCGUUGUAUUAGCUAGUUGGUGGGGUAACGGCUCACCAAGGCGACGAUACAUAGCCGACCUGAGAGGGUGAUCGGCCACACUGGGACUGAGACACGGCCCAGACUCCUACGGGAGGCAGCAGUAGGGAAUCUUCGGCAAUGGACGGAAGUCUGACCGAGCAACGCCGCGUGAGUGAAGAAGGUUUUCGGAUCGUAAAGCUCUGUUGUAAGAGAAGAACGAGUGUGAGAGUGGAAAGUUCACACUGUGACGGUAUCUUACCAGAAAGGGACGGCUAACUACGUGCCAGCAGCCGCGGUAAUACGUAGGUCCCGAGCGUUGUCCGGAUUUAUUGGGCGUAAAGCGAGCGCAGGCGGUUAGAUAAGUCUGAAGUUAAAGGCUGUGGCUUAACCAUAGUACGCUUUGGAAACUGUUUAACUUGAGUGCAAGAGGGGAGAGUGGAAUUCCAUGUGUAGCGGUGAAAUGCGUAGAUAUAUGGAGGAACACCGGUGGCGAAAGCGGCUCUCUGGCUUGUAACUGACGCUGAGGCUCGAAAGCGUGGGGAGCAAACAGG
rnacentral:rRNA from 1 species